GGAUGAUAGGAGGACGUAAAUGACAAGGAGAUCCCCAUCUCAGCACAAAAGCCCCUCCAAAACCAAGAGACAAAUUGAGGACCCCUGUCAGAUACGAUAUCCUGUGGUAUACCAUGCAAGCGGAACACCUCUUACUUGAGCCAACUGAACCGCAGAAGGUCACAUAUAAGUGGAAUAAAGUGUGCCAUUUUAGAGAACCUAUCGGUCACAGUCAAAAUUACUGUCUGUCCACCAGAUGAAGGAAGAUCUACAAUGAAGUCCAUGGAUAAGUGGGUCCAUGGUUUCCUGGGCACGGAUAGAGGCAUUA